rnacentral:tRNA from 1 species
GCGUCGGUGGUUCAGUGGUAGAAUACUCGCCUGCCACGCGGGUGGCCCGGGUUCGAUUCCCAGCCAUCGCA